ACAUGGCAGCGCCCGUGACAACGGGGGGCCAGAGUCAGUGCAGCAGAAGGCAGAAUGGGGGGCGACAUGGACCCCACGGGAGCUCCGGAGUCGGACCAGAGUGCGCACUGGCAAGACACUGAGUGAGAAAGUGUUACAUCAUUACGUGAGGCAACAGAAGAAGAUGCCUAGCUGACAUCAGCUCUAGAACCACCAUUUGCAAAUAAAGGCCAAGGCCUGAUCCUUUACUUUGCACUGGGUGAGGAGUACGAGUUUAGCGAUGCAGUACUGGAAACCUAGGACGACACAGGAAAGCAAUAUGAAUACAGUCGGUGACAUUCAGCUGGGUUUUCUUAUAUAGUAAAGUCAUCCAAGGAUAAAAUGGUGAAGAGAGAAACAAGCUUAGAGGAAAACCAUCAGAAGACCUCUUUCCACUCUCAAAAAAUAUCAGCAGGAAAGUCCACCACAUAUACACUGUUAUCUACACAUAACAAUUUGAUAUUUGUAACAUUGUGGGACAAGAUUUAAAUAUGUGUGAAGUUUUCAUCACAGUUUUAUGCCAAUUCAUAAAUAUUUCAUAAGGUUUCUAACUGUUUAUUACACAAAAAUAAGAUCUCACUAUGUUGGAAAGGAUGAUCUCAAGUCUUCUGAAUAGUGAAAAGCCCUGGUCAAUCAGUAAAGCAUGGUAGUAUAAAGAAAAAAUGUCAUGUUUGAUUAGAGGGUUUUCAUAAAUUCAAUCAAUUUAAG